GACGAACGCUGGCGGCGUGCUUAACACAUGCAAGUCGAACGGAAAGGCCCUGCUUUUGUGGGGUGCUCGAGUGGCGAACGGGUGAGUAACACGUGAGUAACCUGCCCUUGACUUUGGGAUAACUUCAGGAAACUGGGGCUAAUACCGGAUAGGAGCUCCUGCUGCAUGGUGGGGGUUGGAAAGUUUCGGCGGUUGGGGAUGGACUCGCGGCUUAUCAGCUUGUUGGUGGGGUAGUGGCUUACCAAGGCUUUGACGGGUAGCCGGCCUGAGAGGGUGACCGGCCACAUGGGGCCUGCGAUACGGCGCAGACGCCUACGGGAGGCAGCAGUGGGGAAUAUUGCACAAUGGGCGGAAGCCUGAUGCAGCAACGCCGCGUGCGGGAUGACGGCUUUCGGGUUGUAAACCGCUGUCGCCUGUGACGAAGCGUGAGUGACGGUAAUGGGUAAAGAAGCACCGGCUAACUACGUG
rnacentral:rRNA from 1 species